UACGUAGGGUGCAAGCGUUACUCGGAAUUACUGGGCGUAAAGCGUGCGCAGGCGGUUUUGUAAGUCCGAUGUGAAAUCCCCGGGCUUAACCUGGGAACUGCGUUUGAAACUACAAGGCUAGAGUGUGACAGAGGGGGGUGGAAUUCCACGUGUAGCAGUGAAAUGCGUAGAGAUGUGGAGGAACACCGAUGGCGAAGGCAGCCCCCUGGGUUAACACUGACGCUCAGGCACGAAAGCGUGGGGAGCAAACAGG
rnacentral:rRNA from 1 species